AGUGAACGCUGGCGGUAGGCCUAACACAUGCAAGUCGAACGGCAGCACAGUAAGAGCUUGCUCUUACGGGUGGCGAGUGGCGGACGGGUGAGGAAUACAUCGGAAUCUACUUUUUCGUGGGGGAUAACGUAGGGAAACUUACGCUAAUACCGCAUACGACCUACGGGUGAAAGCAGGGGAUCUUCGGACCUUGCGCGAUUGAAUGAGCCGAUGUCGGAUUAGCUAGUUGGCGGGGUAAAGGCCCACCAAGGCGACGAUCCGUAGCGGGUCUGAGAGGAUGAUCACCCACACUGGAACUGAGACACGGUCCAGACUCCUACGGGAGGCAGCAGUGGGGAAUAUUGGACAAUGGGCGCAAGCCUGAUCCAGCCAUACCGCGUGGGUGAAGAAGGCCUUCGGGUUGUAAAGCCCUUUUGUUGGGAAAGAAAAGCAGCAGGUUAAUACCCCGCUGUUCUGACGGUACCCAAAGAAUAAGCACCGGCUAACUUCGUG
rnacentral:rRNA from 1 species